rnacentral:rRNA from 1 species
CCUACGGGAGGCAGCAGUGAGGAAUAUUGGUCAAUGGGCGUAAGCCUGAACCAGCCAAGUCGCGUGAGGGAUGAAGGUUCUAUGGAUCGUAAACCUCUUUUAUAAGGGAAUAAAGUGUGGGACGUGUCCUAUUUUGUAUGUACCUUAUGAAUAAGGAUCGGCUAACUCCGUGCCAGCAGCCGCGGUAAUUCGGAGGAUCCGAGCGUUUUCCGGCUUUAUUGGGUUUAAAGGGUGCGUAGGCGGCCUUUUAAGUCAGCGGUGAAAUUCUGUGGCUCAACCAUAGAAUUGCCGUUGAAACUGGGGGUCUUGAGUAUGUUUGAGGCAGGCGGAAUGCGUGGUGUAGCGGUGAAAUGCUUAGAUAUCACGCAGAACCCCGAUUGCGAAGGCAGCCUGCCAAGCCAUGACUGACGCUGAUGCACGAAAGCGUGGGGAUCAAACAGGAUUAGAUACCCGUGUAGUC